rnacentral:rRNA from 1 species
UACGUAGGGACCGAGCGUUGUCCGGAAUCAUUGGGCGUAAAGAGCGUGUAGGCGGCCUUUUAAGUCCUGCGUGAAAUCCUGCGGCUCAACCGCAGACGGUCGUGGGAAACUGGAAGGCUAGAGUGCGGGAGAGGAGAGUGGAAUUCCCGGUGUAGCGGUGAAAUGCGUAGAUAUCGAGAGGAACACCUGCGGCGAAGGCGGGUUGCUGGGCUGACACUGACGCUGAUGCGCGAAAGCCAGGGGAGCGAACGGG